ensembl:snRNA U5 U5 spliceosomal RNA
AUGCUCUGAUUUCUCUUCGGAUUGUAUAAAUCUUUCACCUUUUACUAAAUAUUUCCAUGGAGAGGAACAACUCAGAGUUUUAAACUAAUUUUUUGACGCUUUGCUUUUUAGCAAGGCU